rnacentral:misc_RNA from 1 species
AACGCACAUUGCGCCCCCUGGUAUUCCGGGGGGCAUGCCCGUUCGAGCGUCAUUACACCACUCCAGCCUCGCUGGGUAUUGGGCGUCUUUUCGCGGGGGAUCACUCCCCCGCGCGCCUCAAAGUCUCCGGCUGAGCGGUCUCGUCUCCCAGCGUUGUGGCAUCACGUCUCGCCGCGGAGUUCACGAGCCCUCACGGCCGUUAAAUCACACCUCAGGUUGACCUCGGAUCGGGUAGGGAUACCCGCUGAACUUAA